rnacentral:misc_RNA from 1 species
AGUGGACGACGGCAAUGUUUACGCGAUCUACAAUCAGAUGGGCGGCUGGGGCGGGGCACGCGUUCAUGGACAUCGCCAUUGGCAGCCAGCCCCCGCACCGUGUGACCUUCGAGCUUUUCACGAAGAAGUGCCCUAUUGCCUCGGAGAACUUUCUGAAGCUGUGCACAGGAGAAAAUGUGCUGCCGCAGGUCUCCAGCAUCGACGGGAUCGGUGAGCCAUCCUUCCGAGACCAGUUUCUGCCGCAGUUGACGUACCGCAACACGACGGUGCACCGCGUGUGCAAAGGCUAUCUCGUGCAAGGCGGCGAUAUCGUGUCUGGUCAAGGGACGGGUCAGCUUUCCAUCUACGGCGAAUUUUUUGAUGCGCCGGAAGAGGUAAAGGCGUCCAAGUUCGAUCGAAUGGGUCUCUUAGGCACCGCCGUAAGUGCGCCGCACUUGAAUGGGUCGCAGUUUUUUAUCCUGACGGCUGACAAGGCGCCGCACCUGAACGGCACGUGCAUUUGUUUCGGCCGCGUCGUGGACGGAUGGGCUGUGGUGAAGGCCAUUGAGGCCAUCCCGCUGACGGCCGCCGGCGAGCCAACGGAGCGGGUUGUAGUGGUCGAGUGCGGCAAGCUCUAAAAGAGAACACGAGGGGGCCGAAGAGAAAGAGUUACCCCCUCCCCCCUCACUGGAAGCGUACGCGCUGAAGAGUGUCACUGUUGUUGUUGCUGUUCUUGCUUCUAUUCUACUCACAAGGUUGGAAGGGCGCGUGUGGAACCAAGGCAAGGCAGCCUGUAGCGCCCCCCCCUCCGCUGGCGUCUGGGAGUAUGUGGCGGGGAGUUUGUGUGUGCGCGUGCGUUGGUUGUUGGAGUUCUUCUCCUUUUUGUGUGUUUGUUUGGCUCCUCUCCCUCUCCCUUCCAUCGUAUGGCUCACAGGCAUCUUUACGUACUCAGAAAUGGAAUGGACGUGCAGCGGGCGCGCGUCCCAGGCGAAGCGCACGCCCCAUCUAAAGGCGACAGCAGCAUCAGCACCAGUGGAAGACUACUCGCUCUUGUCAAGAGCAGUAAAGGGUGUGCGCACGCUUGGUGAAAGGUCACGCACUGCAUAUCACCAUCAGCGUCGUCUGCUGCUGCCGCAACUCCAGCUCAUGUCAUUUUCUUCCCUCAUGCCAUUGUAGUCCCUCCUCCCCCGCUAUCCUCCUCCCACUUUGACGUAUGCCUCGUUCUGCGCCACUUGGUCCCCUCCCUUCUCCGACCGCUCGCAUGCAACACAAUGCCAACGCCGACAG